AAUUGAAGAGUUUGAUCAUGGCUCAGAUUGAACGCUGGCGGCAGGCCUAACACAUGCAAGUCGAGCGGUAGCACAGGAGAGCUUGCUCUCUGGGUGACGAGCGGCGGACGGGUGAGUAAUGUCUGGGAAACUGCCUGAUGGAGGGGGAUAACUACUGGAAACGGUAGCUAAUACCGCAUAACGUCUACGGACCAAAGUGGGGGACCUUCGGGCCUCACGCCAUCAGAUGUGCCCAGAUGGGAUUAGCUAGUAGGUGGGGUAAUGGCUCACCUAGGCGACGAUCCCUAGCUGGUCUGAGAGGAUGACCAGCCACACUGGAACUGAGACACGGUCCAGACUCCUACGGGAGGCAGCAGUGGGGAAUAUUGCACAAUGGGCGCAAGCCUGAUGCAGCCAUGCCGCGUGUGUGAAGAAGGCCUUAGGGUUGUAAAGCACUUUCAGCGAGGAGGAAGGGUAGUGUGUUAAUAGCACAUUGCAUUGACGUUACUCGCAGAAGAAGCACCGGCUAACUCCGUGCCAGCAGCCGCGGUAAUACGGAGGGUGCAAGCGUUAAUCGGAAUUACUGGGCGUAAAGCGCACGCAGGCGGUUUGUUAAGUCAGAUGUGAAAUCCCCGCGCUUAACGUGGGAACUGCAUUUGAAACUGGCAAGCUAGAGUCUUGUAGAGGGGGGUAGAAUUCCAGGUGUAGCGGUGAAAUGCGUAGAGAUCUGGAGGAAUACCGGUGGCGAAGGCGGCCCCCUGGACAAAGACUGACGCUCAGGUGCGAAAGCGUGGGGAGCAAACAGGAUUAGAUACCCUGGUAGUCCACGCUGUAAACGAUGUCGAUUUGGAGGUUGUGCCCUUGAGGCGUGGCUUCCGGAGCUAACGCGUUAAAUCGACCGCCUGGGGAGUACGGCCGCAAGGUUAAAACUCAAAUGAAUUGACGGGGGCCCGCACAAGCGGUGGAGCAUGUGGUUUAAUUCGAUGCAACGCGAAGAACCUUACCUACUCUUGACAUCCAGAGAACUUUCCAGAGAUGGAUUGGUGCCUUCGGGAACUCUGAGACAGGUGCUGCAUGGCUGUCGUCAGCUCGUGUUGUGAAAUGUUGGGUUAAGUCCCGCAACGAGCGCAACCCUUAUCCUUUGUUGCCAGCGAUUCGGUCGGGAACUCAAAGGAGACUGCCGGUGAUAAACCGGAGGAAGGUGGGGAUGACGUCAAGUCAUCAUGGCCCUUACGAGUAGGGCUACACACGUGCUACAAUGGCGUAUACAAAGAGAAGCGAACUCGCGAGAGCAAGCGGACCUCAUAAAGUACGUCGUAGUCCGGAUUGGAGUCUGCAACUCGACUCCAUGAAGUCGGAAUCGCUAGUAAUCGUAGAUCAGAAUGCUACGGUGAAUACGUUCCCGGGCCUUGUACACACCGCCCGUCACACCAUGGGAGUGGGUUGCAAAAGAAGUAGGUAGCUUAACCUUCGGGAGGGCGCUUACCACUUUGUGAUUCAUGACUGGGGGUGAAGUCGUAACAAGGUAACCGUAGGGGAACCUGCGGUUGGAUCACCUCCUUA
rnacentral:rRNA from 1 species